UUGUAUUUCGGGGCAUUUUGAGUAGUCUUUGUAGUAAGGACUUUUUUUUUGUAUUUUCAUGUUUUUUUGUCAUGGGGGUGAGCUUAGUUAUUAUAGGGGGUGUGUAGCUAAGUUCUAGCUUCUCAUCUCAAGGAGGUGAGCUUAGCUAUUAGAGAGGUAUGUGUAGCUAAGCUCUAGCUUCUUUAGGAAUCUUCUUAAGGAAGCUUCUCAAGGAGGUGAGCUUAGUUAUGAGAGGGGUGUGUGUAGCUAAG
rnacentral:lncRNA from 1 species